UACGGGGGGGGCAAGCGUUGUUCGGAAUUACUGGGCGUAAAGCGCGUGUAGGCGGCUAAGUAAGUCGGGCGUGAAAUCCCACGGCUCAACCGUGGAAGUGCACUCGAAACUGCAUAGCUAGAGUCCUGGAGAGGAAGGUGGAAUGCUUGGUGUAGAGGUGAAAUUCGUAGAUAUCAAGCGGAACACCGGUGGCGAAGGCGGCCUUCUGGACAGUGGCUGACGCUGAGACGCGAAAGCGUGGGGAGCAAACAGG
rnacentral:rRNA from 1 species